AGUGAACGCUGGCGGUAGGCCUAACACAUGCAAGUCGAACGGCAGCACAGUAAGAGCUUGCUCUUACGGGUGGCGAGUGGCGGACGGGUGAGGAAUACAUCGGAAUCUACUUUUUCGUGGGGGAUAACGUAGGGAAACUUACGCUAAUACCGCAUACGACCUACGGGUGAAAGCAGGGGAUCUUCGGACCUUGCGCGAUUGAAUGAGCCGCUGUCGGAUUAGCUAGUUGGCGGGGUAAAGGCCAACCAAGGCGACGAUCCGUAGCUGGUCUGAGAGGAUGGUCGCCCACAUUGGAACUGGGACACGGUCCAGACUCCUACGGGAGGCAGCAGUGGGGAAUAUUGGACAAUGGGCGCAAGCCUGAUCCAGCCAUACCGCGUGGGUGAAGAAGGCCUUCGGGUUGUAAAGCCCUUUUGUUGGGAAAGAAAAGCAGCAGGUUAAUACCCCGCUGUUCUGACGGUACCCAAAGAAUAAGCACCGGCUAACUUCGUG
rnacentral:rRNA from 1 species